rfam:Myotis davidii contig5696, whole genome shotgun sequence.
UUUACUUCUCUAGUUGCAGGACUUCCAUUCAGCCAGCUAUCAAGCAGUUCUGGAUGAUGGUUGUUCUGUAUUUUGGUUGUAAU